UUAAGCGACUAAGCGUACACGGUGGAUGCCCUGGCAGUCAGAGGCGAUGAAGGACGUGCUAAUCUGCGAAAAGCGUCGGUAAGGUGAUAUGAACCGUUACAGCCGGCGAUGUCCGAAUGGGGAAACCCAGUGCAAUUCGUUGCACUAUCGUUAACUGAAUACAUAGGUUAACGAGGCGAACCGGGGGAACUGAAACAUCUAAGUACCCCGAGGAAAAGAAAUCAACCGAGAUUCCCCCAGUAGCGGCGAGCGAACGGGGAGCAGCCCGGAGUCUGAAUCAGCUUGUGUGUUAGUGGAAGCGUCUGGAAAGUCGCAGGGUACAGGGUGAUACUCCCGUACACUAAAACACACAGGCUGUGAACUCGAAGAGUAGGGCGGGACACGUGGUAUCCUGUCUGAAUAUGGGGGGACCAUCCUCCAAGGCUAAAUACUCCUGACUGACCGAUAGUGAACCAGUACCGUGAGGGAAAGGCGAAAAGAACCCCGGCGAGGGGAGUGAAAAAGAACCUGAAACCGUGUACGUACAAGCAGUAGGAGCCCCACCACCAAAGCGUUUCGCUUUGCGUGGUGCGCAAAAUGCGUAACGACAGCAUGAUGGACGGUUAACGGAGCGUCAGCGACGUUCAACGUCAAAAAUCAGGCAGUGGAGCGUUUUGGGGUGGGGUGACUGCGUACCUUUUGUAUAAUGGGUCAGCGACUUAUAUUCUGUAGCAAGGUUAACCGUAUAGGGGAGCCGCAGGGAAACCGAGUCUUAACUGGGCGUUAAGUUGCAGGGUAUAGACCCGAAACCCGGUGAUCUAGCCAUGGGCAGGUUGAAGGUUGGGUAACACUAACUGGAGGACCGAACCGACUAAUGUUGAAAAAUUAGCGGAUGACUUGUGGCUGGGGGUGAAAGGCCAAUCAAACCGGGAGAUAGCUGGUUCUCCCCGAAAGCUAUUUAGGUAGCGCCUCGUGAAUUCAUCUUCGGGGGUAGAGCACUGUUUCGGCUAGGGGGUCAUCCCGACUUACCAACCCGAUGCAAACUACGAAUACCGAAGAAUGUUAUCACGGGAGACACACGGCGGGUGCUAACGUCCGUCGUGAAGAGGGAAACAACCCAGACCGCCAGCUAAGGUCCCAAAGUCAUGGUUAAGUGGGAAACGAUGUGGGAAGGCCCAGACAGCCAGGAUGUUGGCUUAGAAGCAGCCAUCAUUUAAAGAAAGCGUAAUAGCUCACUGGUCGAGUCGGCCUGCGCGGAAGAUGUAACGGGGCUAAACCAUGCACCGAAGCUGCGGCAGCGACACUAUGUGUUGUUGGGUAGGGGAGCGUUCUGUAAGCCGUUGAAGGUGGCCUGUGAGGGUUGCUGGAGGUAUCAGAAGUGCGAAUGCUGACAUAAGUAACGAUAAUGCGGGUGAAAAACCCGCACGCCGGAAGACCAAGGGUUCCUGUCCAACGUUAAUCGGGGCAGGGUGAGUCGACCCCUAAGGCGAGGCCGAAAGGCGUAGUCGAUGGGAAACAGGUUAAUAUUCCUGUACUUGGUGUUACUGCGAAGGGGGGACGGAGAAGGCUAUGUUGGCCGGGCGACGGUUGUCCCGGUUUAAGCAUGUAGGCGGAUGUUCCAGGUAAAUCCGGAGCGUCACUAACGCUGAGGUGUGAUGACGAGGCACUACGGUGCUGAAGUGACAAAUGCCCUGCUUCCAGGAAAAGCCUCUAAGCAUCAGGUAACAUCAAAUCGUACCCCAAACCGACACAGGUGGUCAGGUAGAGAAUACCAAGGCGCUUGAGAGAACUCGGGUGAAGGAACUAGGCAAAAUGGUGCCGUAACUUCGGGAGAAGGCACGCUGAUGGUAGGUGAAGUGACUUGCUCAUGGAGCUGAAAUCAGUCGAAGAUACCAGCUGGCUGCAACUGUUUAUUAAAAACACAGCACUGUGCAAACACGAAAGUGGACGUAUACGGUGUGACGCCUGCCCGGUGCCGGAAGGUUAAUUGAUGGGGUUAUCCUCGCGGAGAAGCUCUUGAUCGAAGCCCCGGUAAACGGCGGCCGUAACUAUAACGGUCCUAAGGUAGCGAAAUUCCUUGUCGGGUAAGUUCCGACCUGCACGAAUGGCGUA
rnacentral:rRNA from 1 species